GACGAACGCUGGCGGCGUGCUUAACACAUGCAAGUCGAACGAAGAGCGAUGGAAGCUUGCUUCUAUCAAUCUUAGUGGCGAACGGGUGAGUAACGCGUAAUCAACCUGCCCUUCAGAGGGGGACAACAGUUGGAAACGACUGCUAAUACCGCAUACGAUCUAACCUCGGCAUCGAGGAUAGAUGAAAGGUGGCCUCUACAUGUAAGCUAUCACUGAAGGAGGGGAUUGCGUCUGAUUAGCUAGUUGGAGGGGUAACGGCCCACCAAGGCGAUGAUCAGUAGCCGGUCUGAGAGGAUGAACGGCCACAUUGGGACUGAGACACGGCCCAGACUCCUACGGGAGGCAGCAGUGGGGAAUCUUCCGCAAUGGACGAAAGUCUGACGGAGCAACGCCGCGUGAGUGAUGACGGCCUUCGGGUUGUAAAGCUCUGUUAAUCGGGACGAAAGGCCUUCUUGCGAAU
rnacentral:rRNA from 1 species